rnacentral:rRNA from 1 species
ACGACCGUACCGCAAACCGACACUGGUGCGCGAGAUGAGUAUUCUAAGGCGCUUGAGAGAACUCAGGAGAAGGAACUCGGCAAAUUGACACCGUAACUUCGGAAGAAGGUGUGCCUUUAGUAGGUGAACCAUUUACUUGGGGAGCCCAAUGAGGCUGCAAAAAAUCGGUGGCUGCAACUGUUUAUUAAAAACACAGCACUCUGCUAAGACGAAAGUCGACGUAUAGGGUGUGACGCCUGCCCGGUGCUGGAAGAUUAAAUGAUGGGGUGCAAGCUCUUGAUUGAAGUCCCAGUAAACGGCGGCCGUAACGAUAACGGUCCUAAGGUAGCGAAAUUCCUUGUCGGGUAAGUUCCGACCUGCACGAAUGGCGUAAUGAUGGCCACACUGUCUCCUCCUGAGACUCAGCGAAGUUGAAAUGUUUGUGAUGAUGCAAUCUCCCCGCGGAAAGACGGAAAGACCCCAUGAACCUUUACUGUAGCUUUGUAUUGGACUUUGAACAGAUCUGUGUAGGAUAGGUGGGAGGCUUUGAAGUGUGGUCGCUAGAUCGCAUGGAGCCAACGUUGAAAUACCACCCUGGUGUGUUUGAGGUUCUAACCUAGGUCCAUUAUCUGGAUCGGGGACAGUGCAUGGUAGGCAGUUUGACUGGGGCGGUCUCCUCCCAAAGUGUAACGGAGGAGUUCGAAGGUACGCUAGUUACGGUCGGACAUCGUGAUAAUAGUGCAAUGGCAUAAGCGUGCUUAACUGCAGACUGACAAGUCGAGCAGAUGCGAAAGCAGGACAUAGUGAUCCGGUGGUUCUGUAUGGAAGGGCCAUCGCUCAACGGAUAAAAGGUACCCUGGGGAUAACAGGCUGAUACCGCCCAAGAGUUCAUAUCGACGGCGGUGUUUGGCACCUCGAUGUCGGCUCAUCUCAUCCUGGGGCUGUAGCCGGUCCCAAGGGUAUGGCUGUUCGCCAUUUAAAGAGGUACGUGAGCUGGGUUUAAAACGUCGUGAGACAGUUUGGUCCCUAUCUUCCGUGGGCGCUGCAGAUUUGAGGAAGCCUGCUCCUAGUACGAGAGGACCGGAGUGGACGAACCUCUGGUGUAUCGGUUGUCACGCCAGUGGCAUUGCCGAGUAGCUAAGUUCGGAAGAGAUAACCGCUGAAAGCAUCUAAGCGGGAAACUCGUUUCAAGAUUAGAUCUGCCGGGGCCUUGAGCCCCCUAAAGAGUCGUUCAAGACCAGGACGUUGAUAGGUCAGGUGUGA